rnacentral:rRNA from 2 species
CGGCGAUUGGGACGAAGUCGUAACAAGGUAGCCGUACCGGAAGGUGCGGCUGGAUCACCUCCUUUCUAAGGAGCA